rnacentral:lncRNA from 1 species
GAGGAUAAGAACUAAAUGUGGUCCCAGACAAGAUCCUGGAACAGAAAAUGAACACUAAGGGAAAACUAAGGAAAUAUGAACAAGGAGAUUCCAUGAAAGGAGAAAGGCUGGCACAGCUGGUUGUUCUAUGGCCACGAGGAGAAGCAUGACAAGAGAGAAGAGAUGCCACUAGAUGAAAAGAACUCUGCAGAGAAGAGUGGAGGCCCAAACUGGGAAGUUAGCUGUAGCAGCUGAUGUCACAAAGCCUGGCUGAGGACCAAAGAGAAACAGGUUCAUUUGGAAGUUCGUAUCUGAGCAGACUGGCUCAACCAGAAGUCCAGAAAAGUGUGGACCAGCUUCAACAGGACAGCACUAACACAGACUACUGCAGUCUCUGCACAGAGAGGCCUAAAGGAGAGGUCAUAGCAGUACUCUGCAGGUAACACUCCAUUUCCAACGAGCAGAGAAUCCCAAAGGAGGUGAUUUAGGGAUGAUCUCCAUCAGCCCUAGAGAGGGAUCGUCGUGGUCAGGAGACCCAGUUUUAGAGCCCGAAUCCUGGCCAUUCAUUGCCUAUGUGACCAGGUUACUGAGUCUCCUCUUCAUAAAGUAAUUAUGAGGAUUCAGUGAGUUGCUACAGGCAAAACGCUUAGAACAGCGCCUG